rnacentral:rRNA from 1 species
AUGGCUUUAGUAUGUGAUCUUUGGUUGCCAAGUAGUUUGGGCACGAUGACAGGGCCAAUUUGGCCAUCUAUUGAGGCCGAAAAUUUUGAGUUGAGGCCUGGACUUAUUGCUCUCGUCUUGCAGAAUCAGUUUAGAGGAUUACCCAAUGAAGACCCUCAUGAGCACAUUUGUAAUGUCCUGGAGUAUGCCAAUACUGUCCAGUACCAUGGCGUUUCCCAAGAUGCUAUCAAGUGUAUGCUGUUCACAUUCUCUCUCAGAGAUGCUGCUAAGGACUGGUACUAUUCUUUGCCAUCAAGAUCAUACACUUGGGGUGAUAUUUCGCAAGCUUUCCUGCACAGAUAUUUUCCACUUUACAAGCAAGCUGCAAUUCGUGACCAGAUCCUCAGUUUUGUGCAAGAUGGAAGUGAGAGCUUGUAUGCAGCUUGGGAGAGAUAUAAGUAUUUGCUUAGAAAAUGUCCUAAUCAUGGGCAAAAGGAUUGGUUAGUGCUCCAGAUAUUCUAUAGAGGGCUGACACAUGCUUCGAGAGAUCUUGUUGAUAUGUCCGCUGGUGGAACAAUCAUGAACAAGACCGUUGAGGGUGCAAUUAUUCUCAUUGAGAGCAUUGCCUUCCACCAAAUGCAAUGGGGUUAUGAAAGGCCUAGUUCAAAUCCGAAGGUUGCAAGCCAUCUGCAAUCCGAAGCUGUGUGUUCCAUAAGUGAACAGAAAUCAUCCAUGGUGCCUAAUAUUCAAAACCAGCAUGUUCCAUUCCGGGGACAACAACAUUUCAGAGCUGAAUUAGAUCCUCCAUGUAGAAAGAUUGAUCUUACUUCAAGUAUCCUUGAUGAUGAUUAUGAUAUUUUUCAAGAUGAUGCAACCAUUGUAGAUCAGAUGGAAACCAAAGUAGCAGAUCCAAUACCUCAUGGCAAUGAAACUGUCCAGACUGAGUCAAAGUGGCAAGAAGAUGUUUAUGAGGAACCUACUCUGAUUGAUGCUAAGUUGAGACAACAAGAUAUGGAGAAAUUCACUUGUGUUAGUCAACUAUGUGACUGGUGGAAUUUAGUCGUGGCACCAAUUGCCCACACUUGUGUUACAACUGUAUUUGGGAUAUUUGUCAAGAAGAAAUCAUUAGCUCCACCGGUGGUUGCCUCUAUCUCAGUUAAAGAGAGUAUCUCAGAGAAGAAUAGUGAAGAUGAGAUUCCAACACCUUCACAUUCAGCUGAGCAAGAUAGCGAGAGUCCAGAGGAAGAGAUACUUCAGAUCCAAGAAGAAAUUCUCGAAGCCAAGGCACAAGAUGAUCCAGAGCUCGAACAACAAAGUGAUCAAGUUGAAGAUUCAUCAUCUAUUACUCUUGAAGAAGCAAAAGAAGUUGAUGUGAUUGAAGAUUAA